UUUUUUUCAUCUCUAGGACUUCCGUUUUGUCUUUUGAAUAUCAUCUAUUUCUCUCCUCAUCAGGAUUGAAAUGCUGUUUUUCUUCCCUGGUACAAUGUUAAAGCUUUAAACUCUUGUCAAUGAUGUGAUGUUUCAUCUGCAAUGAUCUACACUAGAAAAAUAAAAAUGUAGUUACUCACAAAAAAGCAGGAACUACUGCUCUAAGGAAAAAAGGAGAGCUACAUGAGGACCACACGACUCCUGGAAGAGGUUUCCCUGGCAACACAACUUUUCCAUUCAUCUGCUUGCAGUGUUUUCAUCCAGUAGCCUGUCACCUCACUCAAAAGCAGGGCAAUGGAGAGAAAGAAACUUAUCAAGUUUUUUCUUUUAACUAGAGAGUAGCCUACUUAUUGGGUCCUGCAAUUAAUUUCAGUACUCCAGGCAGAUUUAUAAAGGAAGCUGCUGGAAGGAAUUCAUUCCCUUUUUGCUGUUCUGCCUUCCACCUUCCACUGUGUGAGGACACUGCAAGAAAGCCCUCAUCAGACACCAACUGCCAGCACCUAGAUCUUGGAAUUCUCAGCCUCCAGAACUGUGAGAAAUAUGUUUCUGUUUUUCUAUAAAAUAAUAAUAAUAAUAAAAAGCUUCCAUGCAGGAAAAAAAAAUCAAGUUCAAAGGUCCUGUGGUGAGGGCAUGCCAGCUUUGUUUGAGAAGCAGUAAUCAUGCCUGUGUGACUGUAAUGAAAGAAUAAAAGAGAAAUGAGC